rnacentral:rRNA from 1 species
AGCGUACACGGUGGAUGCCCUGGCAGUCAGAGGCGAUGAAGGACGUGCUAAUCUGCGAUAAGCGUCGGUAAGGUGAUAUGAACCGUUAUAACCGGCGAUUUCCGAAUGGGGAAACCCAGUGUGAUUCGUCACACUAUCAUUAACUGAAUCCAUAGGUUAAUGAGGCGAACCGGGGGAACUGAAACAUCUAAGUACCCCGAGGAAAAGAAAUCAACCGAGAUUCCCCCAGUAGCGGCGAGCGAACGGGGAGCAGCCCAGAGCCUGAAUCAGUGUGUGUGUUAGUGGAAGCGUCUGGAAAGGCGCGCGAUACAGGGUGACAGCCCCGUACACAAAAAUGCACAUACUGUGAGCUCGAUGAGUAGGGCGGGACACGUGGUAUCCUGUCUGAAUAUGGGGGGACCAUCCUCCAAGGCUAAAUACUCCUGACUGACCGAUAGUGAACCAGUACCGUGAGGGAAAGGCGAAAAGAACCCCGGCGAGGGGAGUGAAAAAGAACCUGAAACCGUGUACGUACAAGCAGUGGGAGCACAGAGCAAUCUGUGUGACUGCGUACCUUUUGUAUAAUGGGUCAGCGACUUAUAUUCUGUAGCAAGGUUAACCGAAUAGGGGAGCCGAAGGGAAACCGAGUCUUAACUGGGCGUUAAGUUGCAGGGUAUAGACCCGAAACCCGGUGAUCUAGCCAUGGGCAGGUUGAAGGUUGGGUAACACUAACUGGAGGACCGAACCGACUAAUGUUGAAAAAUUAGCGGAUGACUUGUGGCUGGGGGUGAAAGGCCAAUCAAACCGGGAGAUAGCUGGUUCUCCCCGAAAGCUAUUUAGGUAGCGCCUCGUGAAUUCAUCUCCGGGGGUAGAGCACUGUUUCGGCAAGGGGGUCAUCCCGACUUACCAACCCGAUGCAAACUGCGAAUACCGGAGAAUGUUAUCACGGGAGACACACGGCGGGUGCUAACGUCCGUCGUGAAGAGGGAAACAACCCAGACCGCCAGCUAAGGUCCCAAAGUCAUGGUUAAGUGGGAAACGAUGUGGGAAGGCCCAGACAGCCAGGAUGUUGGCUUAGAAGCAGCCAUCAUUUAAAGAAAGCGUAAUAGCUCACUGGUCGAGUCGGCCUGCGCGGAAGAUGUAACGGGGCUAAACCAUGCACCGAAGCUGCGGCAGCGACGCUUAUGCGUUGUUGGGUAGGGGAGCGUUCUGUAAGCCUGCGAAGGUGUGCUGUGAGGCAUGCUGGAGGUAUCAGAAGUGCGAAUGCUGACAUAAGUAACGAUAAAGCGGGUGAAAAGCCCGCUCGCCGGAAGACCAAGGGUUCCUGUCCAACGUUAAUCGGGGCAGGGUGAGUCGACCCCUAAGGCGAGGCCGAAAGGCGUAGUCGAUGGGAAACAGGUUAAUAUUCCUGUACUUGGUGUUACUGCGAAGGGGGGACGGAGAAGGCUAUGUUGGCCGGGCGACGGUUGUCCCGGUUUAAGCGUGUAGGCUGGUUUUCCAGGCAAAUCCGGAAAAUCAAGGCUGAGGCGUGAUGACGAGGCACUACGGUGCUGAAGCAACAAAUGCCCUGCUUCCAGGAAAAGCCUCUAAGCAUCAGGUAACAUCAAAUCGUACCCCAAACCGACACAGGUGGUCAGGUAGAGAAUACCAAGGCGCUUGAGAGAACUCGGGUGAAGGAACUAGGCAAAAUGGUGCCGUAACUUCGGGAGAAGGCACGCUGAUAUGUAGGUGAAGUCCCUCGCGGAUGGAGCUGAAAUCAGUCGAAGAUACCAGCUGGCUGCAACUGUUUAUUAAAAACACAGCACUGUGCAAACACGAAAGUGGACGUAUACGGUGUGACGCCUGCCCGGUGCCGGAAGGUUAAUUGAUGGGGUUAGCGCAAGCGAAGCUCUUGAUCGAAGCCCCGGUAAACGGCGGCCGUAACUAUAACGGUCCUAAGGUAGCGAAAUUCCUUGUCGGGUAAGUUCCGACCUGCACGAAUGGCGUAAUGAUGGCCAGGCUGUCUCCACCCGAGACUCAGUGAAAUUGAACUCGCUGUGAAGAUGCAGUGUACCCGCGGCAAGACGGAAAGACCCCGUGAACCUUUACUAUAGCUUGACACUGAACAUUGAGCCUUGAUGUGUAGGAUAGGUGGGAGGCUUUGAAGUGUGGACGCCAGUCUGCAUGGAGCCGACCUUGAAAUACCACCCUUUAAUGUUUGAUGUUCUAACGUUGACCCGUAAUCCGGGUUGCGGACAGUGUCUGGUGGGUAGUUUGACUGGGGCGGUCUCCUCCUAAAGAGUAACGGAGGAGCACGAAGGUUGGCUAAUCCUGGUCGGACAUCAGGAGGUUAGUGCAAUGGCAUAAGCCAGCUUGACUGCGAGCGUGACGGCGCGAGCAGGUGCGAAAGCAGGUCAUAGUGAUCCGGUGGUUCUGAAUGGAAGGGCCAUCGCUCAACGGAUAAAAGGUACUCCGGGGAUAACAGGCUGAUACCGCCCAAGAGUUCAUAUCGACGGCGGUGUUUGGCACCUCGAUGUCGGCUCAUCACAUCCUGGGGCUGAAGUAGGUCCCAAGGGUAUGGCUGUUCGCCAUUUAAAGUGGUACGCGAGCUGGGUUUAGAACGUCGUGAGACAGUUCGGUCCCUAUCUGCCGUGGGCGCUGGAGAAUUGAGGGGGGCUGCUCCUAGUACGAGAGGACCGGAGUGGACGCAUCACUGGUGUUCGGGUUGUCAUGCCAAUGGCACUGCCCGGUAGCUAAAUGCGGAAGAGAUAAGUGCUGAAAGCAUCUAAGCACGAAACUUGCCCCGAGAUGAGUUCUCCCUGACUCCUUGA